GAUGAACGCUGGCGGCGUGCCUAAUACAUGCAAGUCGAGCGAACGGACGAGAAGCUUGCUUCUCUGAUGUUAGCGGCGGACGGGUGAGUAACACGUGGAUAACCUACCUAUAAGGCUGGGAUAACUUCGGGAAACCGGAGCUAAUACCGGAUAAUAUUUUGAACCGCAUGGUUCAAAAGUAAAAGACGGUCUUGCUGUCACUUAUAGAUGGAUCCGCGCUGCAUUAGCUAGUUGGUAAGGUAACGGCUUACCAAGGCAACGAUGCAUAGCCGACCUGAGAGGGUGAUCGGCCACACUGGAACUGAGACACGGUCCAGACUCCUACGGGAGGCAGCAGUAGGGAAUCUUCCGCAAUGGGCGAAAGCCUGACGGAGCAACGCCGCGUGAGUGAUGAAGGUCUUCGGAUCGUAAAGCUCUGUUAUUAGGGAAGAACAUAUGUGUAAGUAACUGUGCACAUCUUGACGGUACCUAAUCAGAAAGCCACGGCUAACUACGUG
rnacentral:rRNA from 1 species